ACGGCUCAGUAACACGUGGACAACCUACCCUACGGAGGGGGAUAACCCCGGGAAACUGGGGAUAAUACCCCAUAGACUAUGGAUGCUGGAAUGCUCUGUAGCCGAAAGGUCCGCCGCCGUAGGAUGGGUCUGCGGCCGAUUAGGUUGUUGUUGGGGUAACGGCCCAACAAGCCUGUAAUCGGUACGGGUUGUGGGAGCAAGAGCCCGGAGAUGGAUUCUGAGACACGAAUCCAGGCCCUACGGGGCGCAGCAGGCGCGAAAACUUUGCAAUGCGGGAAACCGUGACAAGGGAACUCUGAGUGCCCGUAAAAUCGGGCUGUCCAUCGGUUUAAAUAACCGGUGAAGAAAGGGCCGGGCAAGACCGGUGCCAGCCGCCGCGGUAAUACCGGCGGCUCGAGUGGUGGCCACUAUUACUGGGCUUAAAGCGUUCGUAGCUGGUUUGUUAAGUCUCUGGGGAAAUCUUCCGGCUUAACCGGAAGGCGUCUCAGGGAUACUGGCAGACUAGGGACCGGGAGAGGUGAGAGGUACUCCAGGGGUAGGAGUGAAAUCCUGUAAUCCUUGGGGGACCACCUGUGGCGAAGGCGUCUCACCAGAACGGCUCCGACAGUGAGGGACGAAAGCUGGGGGAGCAAACCGGAUUAGAUACCCGGGUAGUCCCAGCUGUAAACGAUGCGCGUUAGGUGUAUCGGUGACCACGAGUCACCGAGGUGCCGAAGAGAAAUCGUGAAACGUGCCGCCUGGGAAGUACGGUCGCAAGGCUGAAACUUAAAGGAAUUGGCGGGGGAGCAC
rnacentral:rRNA from 2 species